GAUGAACGCUGGCGGCGUGCCUAAUACAUGCAAGUCGAGCGAACAGACGAGGAGCUUGCUCCUCUGACGUUAGCGGCGGACGGGUGAGUAACACGUGGAUAACCUACCUAUAAGACUGGGAUAACUUCGGGAAACCGGAGCUAAUACCGGAUAAUAUAUUGAACCGCAUGGUUCAAUAGUGAAAGACGGUUUUGCUGUCACUUAUAGAUGGAUCCGCGCCGCAUUAGCUAGUUGGUAAGGUAACGGCUUACCAAGGCAACGAUGCGUAGCCGACCUGAGAGGGUGUCCGGCCACACUGGAACUGAGACACGGUCCAGACUCCUAAGGGAGGCAGCAGUAGGUAAUCUUCCGCAAUGGGCGAAAGCUUGACGGAGCAACGCCGCGUGAGUGAUGAAGAUCUUCGGAUCGUAAAACUCUGUUAUUAGGGAAGAACAAAUGUGUAAGUAACUAUGCACGUCUUGACGGUACCUAAUCAGAAAGCCACGGCUAACUACGUG
rnacentral:rRNA from 1 species